rnacentral:rRNA from 1 species
UACAGAGGUCUCAAGCGUUGUUCGGAUUCAUUGGGCGUAAAGGGUGCGUAGGCGGCGCGGUAAGUCGGGUGUGAAAUCUCGGGGCUUAACUCCGAAACUGCAUUCGAUACUGCCGUGCUUGAGGACUGGAGAGGAGAUUGGAAUUUACGGUGUAGCGGUGAAAUGCGUAGAUAUCGUAAGGAAGACCAGUGGCGAAGGCGGGUCUCUGGACAGUUCCUGACGCUGAGGCACGAAGGUCAGGGGAGCAAACGGG